UUUAAAGACCCGGAGACCUACUAUAGCAGAGACGUUGCAUGUGUUUCUGAUUAUUGUAACUUCAAAUCCGACAUAAAAUCAAUUUGGUUGUGAGACGGAAAGCGCUAGCAUCUUUUUCAGUGUAAAAGUGGGGUUUUCGGGAAAGCGCUGCACGUGUACAUAGAAGGACAUCGCACGGAAACUAACAUGCAUUUAGCUAUAUAGAUAUAAUCGAAUGAGUUAAUACCUCAUCUUUAGAGUGUUUCAGAAUUUUUGAAAUGAUGGUUACCGAAUGUAUUACAGUUUCAAUAUCUACAUGACUAGGCAAUUGAUCUAACCUUUGACGACAGGAUGAGACGGGCGUGUGUACACACGUUUGGAACACGCACGUGUAGAGUCUGAGCCGGUACAGCUUGUUAGGCGCACGACCACGGGGUACGCAUGCUACAGUGUAUAAUUUAUAAGUCGUUUAAAAAAAAUAGAAUUACGAAGCAUGCAUGCAGUUGGGUAAUAUAAUAAGGAAUCAAUAAAUGCGUUAUAUUUCUGCUGGGGUUAUCAAACCCAUGUCAUAAUAAAGGGCAGUAGUAUGAAUUAGCAGUGACAGAUAGCACCAUGGAUGCUGUAGGCGUUUUCCUUUUCUUGUGCAGUGCACUGAUCUUUUACGGACAGACUAUCCUAAGUCUGCCCCAGUGUAAAUGGGCAAACGACGAGUGUUCUGUGAACUCUGACUGCUGCAGUGAACAUUGCGUAUUAAAGAACCCCGGCACACACCAUCGCUGCAAGCAGAGUUUUAUCGGGCAGUACUGCCUGUACAGGUAUCACUGUGAGGACCGACUGAUGUGCGGAUCCAACAAAAAGUGCUGUGCUUCCUACUGGGACCCUUGCUCUAACAACACACACUGUUGUGACCCGGAACAUAAAUGUUUACGAGUGGAUGGAUUCAUCUACAAAGCCUGCCUUUAUCGCUCUCCCAACGGCGCCCAGGCCUCGAGUCCAUCUUCCUUGUGGAGUAAAAUGGUUCUGUGUUGCUUUUUCUUCCUCAGAUUUAUUCAUGCGAGAUAAAAACAAACUUAACUGCACAACGUCAUGCUUUUUCUAUGCAAAAUCGUGACAACCAGUUUGGACAAAGCUGUCGAUCUUCACAUCUCGAUAUCGUGACAACCGGCUUGUACAAAGCUGUGUAUCACGUGAUCUCUGGUUAAUACACCAUUGAGUAGUUUGGACAGAAAUAAUAUAUCACGACCAGUUAGGACGAAGCUGCCGAUCCUCUGGUUAAUAUUCAUGUAUAGCAACGACUAAUAUAUCGCGACAUCCGCGCAGUUUUGACAAAGGCGUAGGCCUUCUGAUAUCUGUUUCAUUUACAUGUAUUGUGAUAACCAGUUUGGUCUAUUUAUCGAAACUGUAACUAACCGAUACUUUUGGGCUUGGUUCACUCGAAUAUAUUUUAUAUGUCUCGUUGUGAAGUUUUCUUCAAUAUAUGUAUUUAUCAUUUUUUUUCAAUUAAUAGAAUAUACCAAUGUAUCAUGUCGCAUAUAUAUUCACGUUGGAAUAUUCAUUAAAUUGUCUUUAAAAUUUA